CUUGGUCAUUUAGAGGAAGUAAAAGUCGUAACAAGGUUUCCGUAGGUGAACCUGCGGAAGGAUCAUUCAUAAUAAGUGUUUUAUGGCACUUUUUAAAUCCAUAUCCACCUUGUGUGCAAUGUCAGUCGAUCUUCUUCAUGGAAGAUCGGCCAAACAUCAACCUUAUCUUUUAACUCUUUGUCUGAAAAAUAUUAUGAAUAAACAAUUCAAAAUACAACUUUCAACAACGGAUUUCUUGGCUCUCGCAUCGAUGAAGAACGCAGCGAAAUGCGAUACGUAAUGUGAAUUGCAGAAUUCAGUGAAUCAUCGAAUCUUUGAACGCAUAUCGCGCUCUUUGGUAUUCCGAAGAGCAUGCUUGUUUGAGUAUCAGUAAACACCUCAAAGCUUUUGGAUUUUUUUUUUUGAAAGCUUUGGACUUGAGCAAUCCCAACACCAAUCUUUUUCAGAUCGGCGGCGGGUUGCUUGAGAUGCAGGUGCAGCUGGACUUUCUCCUGAGCUAAAAGCAUAUUCAUUUAGUCCCGUCAAACGGAUUAUUACUUUUGCUGCAGCUAACAUAAAGGGAGUUUGACCGCAUUGGCUGACUGAUGCAGGAUUUCACAAGGGUCGGCAACGAUUCUUGUUAAACUCGAUCUCAAAUCAAGUAAGACUACCCGCUGAACUUAAGCAUAUCAAUAAGCGGAGGAAAU
rnacentral:rRNA from 1 species